rnacentral:misc_RNA from 1 species
UGGCUCUCGCAUCGAUGAAGAACGCAGCGAAAUGCGAUAAGUAAUGUGAAUUGCAGAAUUCAGUGAAUCAUCGAAUCUUUGAACGCACCUUGCACCCCUUGGUAUUCCGAGGGGUACGCCCGUUUGAGUGUCAUUGCAAUCUCACCUCCAUGGUUUCUGCCGUGGGAGUGGAUCUGGACGUUGUCGGCCUCGAUUCGACUCGUCUGAAAUGUGUCAGUGCAUCCUGUUCCACAGUUUAUCUGGUGUGAUAAAGCAUCCUCACCAGUGUGAGACCACCUGGUGGUUACUCCUGUCAACUGGGCUCUGCGCUUCGAACCGUCCGUAGAGACAAUAUGCUGACAAUUUGACCUCAGAUCGGGCGGGACUACCCGCUGA